rnacentral:rRNA from 1 species
GAUGAACGCUGGCGGCGUGCCUAAUACAUGCAAGUCGAGCGAACAGACGAGGAGCUUGCUCCUCUGACGUUAGCGGCGGACGGGUGAGUAACACGUGGAUAACCUACCUAUAAGACUGGGAUAACUUCGGGAAACCGGAGCUAAUACCGGAUAAUAUAUUGAACCGCAUGGUUCAAUAGUGAAAGACGGUUUUGCUGUCACUUAUAGAUGGAUCCGCGCCGCAUUAGCUAGUUGGUAAGGUAACGGCUUACCAAGGCAACGAUGCGUAGCCGACCUGAGAGGGUGAUCGGCCACACUGGAACUGAGACACGGUCCAGACUCCUACGGGAGGCAGCAGUAGGGAAUCUUCCGCAAUGGGUGAAAGCCUGACGGAGCAACGCCGCGUGAGUGAUGAAGGUCUUCGGAUCGUAAAACUCUGUUAUUAGGGAAGAACAAAUGUGUAAGUAACUAUGCACGUCUUGACGGUACCUAAUCAGAAAGCCACGGCUAACUACGCG